rnacentral:ribozyme from 12 species
UCUUUUUGAAAAAACAAAACAAAAACAAAAACAAAAAAAACUGAAAGGUGGGUUUCGGUUGACAUCACUUCUAUUCUCGUAUUUAUAUUACAUGUGUGAUAAUAUGCAUCAUUUGUGAAGAUUUCAUUGAGAUCUCUGCUCAAUGAUGAAUGUUUGAUCAUUAUGCUGAAAAAGGUAUG